UUGAGGAGUGGCUUCCGGAGCUAACGCGUAAAUCGACCGCUGGGGAGUACGGCCGCAAGGUUAAAACUCAAAUGAAUUGACGGGGGCCCGCACAAGCGGUGGAGCAUGUGGUUUAAUUCGAUGCAACGCGAAGAACCUUACCUACUCUUGACAUCCAGAGAAUUUAGCAGAGAUGCUUUAGUGCCUUCGGGAACUCUGAGACAGGUGCUGCAUGGCUGUCGUCAGCUCGUGUUGUGAAAUGUUGGGUUAAGUCCCGCAACGAGCGCAACCCUUAUCCUUUGUUGCCAGCGAUUCGGUCGGGAACUCAAAGGAGACUGCCGGUGAUAAACCGGAGGAAGGUGGGGAUGACGUCAAGUCAUCAUGGCCCUUACGAGUAGGGCUACACACGUGCUACAAUGGCGUAUACAAAGAGAAGCGACCUCGCGAGAGCAAGCGGAACUCAUAAAGUACGUCGUAGUCCGGAUUGGAGUCUGCAACUCGACUCCAUGAAGUCGGAAUCGCUAGUAAUCGUAGAUCAGAAUGCUACGGUGAAUACGUUCCCGGGCCUUGUACACACCGCCCGUCACACCAUGGGAGUGGGUUGCAAAAGAAGUAGGUAGCUUAACCUUCGGGAGGGCGCUUACCACUUUGUGAUUCAUGACUGGGGUGAAGUCGUAACAAGGUAACCA
rnacentral:rRNA from 1 species